ensembl:lncRNA
AUGCUGUGUGUUGUUUUCUGUUCUAAUCAAAGGCAUGUGUUCUUUCUAAAUCCAGAUACCCAGUCUUUCAAACAUGAAUCAGUGCUGCUGCAAUGUAGCAUUCCUGUGGAAGUCCAAGUGAAGAUUGCUCCAAAUGAAUGCCUUGUUGAAGAGCACAGGGACCGUCCUGAAGAAGAGCUUACAUGUUGUGUUACUCCAGAAGUGAGCGGCCCUCAGGAUGUUAAGGAUGAUGAAGCAGAAAGCACAGUAGAUGAUCUUCCUUCCUUGACAUCAGUUGGUAAGAUUAAAAGCAUUUUUUAAAAUAUAUAUUUGGUUGUCUUUCUUUCCGUCCAUCUUUCCUGUCUCUCUGUCUUUGUUUUUUCCUUUCAGCUCAUUUUAAUUUUACGUAUUUGUCUCUGUAACGCUUCCAAUAGUGAGUAAGACAGAGGACCAGGAGAUCGAACCCUUCCUUGAGAGGCCUCUGGUUCCUGAAACCACACCGUCAGACAAAGGUACAACAGAAGACUUUUUUCAGAAAUCAAAAACCCAUAAUUAAAGUGCUUAACUUGGUUUGCAGCAGAUCCAAAAAAAAAAGUUAAAAGACACUGACCUUUACAGAUGUGCCUGAAAGAAGAAGAGAAUUUGAAAGGUCUCCAUCUCGGACGUCUGAGAAUGAAGAUCGAAUUACUGAUCAGGAGGAACAGGAUUCAGAGGCUGUUGAGUCUGAAGUCACAGACACUAUGAUCGAGGAACCUCAGACAGAGCAGAAGAGGAUCACUCCAGUCAGGUGUGCAGUGGCAGAUGAAUCAAUAGAUUGCUCAAAUUAAAAGCGUUUGUCUUGACUGUUUUUAACAAUGCCUUUGCUCUGUGGUGUCAUCUGUACAGCUGUUCUGCUGAUGGUUCCUCAGUUUAUGCUCAGGGCAGUAUUGCCCCAGAGAGACACGGUCAGUUUGAUGAGCAAACACCCACCAAGCUGGAAGGGGCAUCUCUAGUCAUGAUAAACCUUCAACAGACCUCAGAGCCUAAUGAAGGUGGGGUUCAUGUUAUUCAGACUGAGAAUAUUGCUUUAAAUGUCACAAGUGUUGCUGCCAAUGAUUGAGACAUGACAUCUUCAUGGGGGAAGUCGUGGCCUAACGGUUAGAGUGUUGGACUUGCAAUCCAAGGGUUGUGAGUUCGAGUCUCGGGCCGGCAGGAAUUGUAGGUGGGGGGAGUGAAUGUACAGCGCUCUCUCCACCUUCAAUACCAUGACUGAGGUGCCCUUGAGCAAGGCACUGAACCCCCAACUUCUCCCCAGGUGCCGCAGCAUAACGGGUGCCCACUG